AGUGAACGCUGGCGGUAGGCCUAACACAUGCAAGUCGAACGGCAGCACAGUAAGAUCUCGCUCUUACGGGUGGCGAGUGGCGGACGGGUGAGGAAUACAUCGGAAUCUACUUUUUCGUGGGUGAUAACGGAGGGAAACUUACGCUAAUACCGCAUACGACCUACGGGAGAAAGCAGGGGAUCUUCGGACCUUUGCCGAUUCAAUGAGCCGAUGUCGGAUUAGCUAGUUGGCUGGGUAAAGGCCCACCAAGGCGACGAUCCGUAGCUGGUCUGAGAGGAUGAUCAGCCACACUGGAACUGAGACACGGUCCAGACUCCUACGGGAGGCAGCAGUGGGGAAUAUUGGACAAAGGGCGAAAGCCUGAUCCAGCAAUACCGCGUGGGUGAAGAAGGCCUUCGGGUUGUAAAGCCCUUUUGUUGGGAAAGAAAAGCAGCAGGUUAAUACCCCGCUGUUCUGACGGUACCCAAAGAAUAAGCACCGGCUAACUUCGUG
rnacentral:rRNA from 1 species